rnacentral:rRNA from 1 species
GGACGAGAAGCUUGCUUCUCUGAUGUUAGCGGCGGACGGGUGAGUAACACGUGGAUAACCUACCUAUAAGACUGGGAUAACUUCGGGAAACCGGAGCUAAUACCGGAUAAUAUUUUGAACCGCAUGGUUCAAAAGUGAAAGACGGUCUUGCUGUCACUUAUAGAUGGAUCCGCGCUGCAUUAGCUAGUUGGUAAGGUAACGGCUUACCAAGGCAACGAUGCAUAGCCGACCUGAGAGGGUGAUCGGCCACACUGGAACUGAGACACGGUCCAGACUCCUACGGGAGGCAGCAGUAGGGAAUCUUCCGCAAUGGGCGAAAGCCUGACGGAGCAACGCCGCGUGAGUGAUGAAGGUCUUCGGAUCGUAAAACUCUGUUAUUAGGGAAGAACAUAUGUGUAAGUAACUGUGCACAUCUUGACGGUACCUAAUCAGAAAGCCACGGCUAACUACGUGCCAGCAGCCGCGGUAAUACGUAGGUGGCAAGCGUUAUCCGGAAUUAUUGGGCGUAAAGCGCGCGUAGGCGGUUUUUUAAGUCUGAUGUGAAAGCCCACGGCUCAACCGUGGAGGGUCAUUGGAAACUGGAAAACUUGAGUGCAGAAGAGGAAAGUGGAAUUCCAUGUGUAGCGGUGAAAUGCGCAGAGAUAUGGAGGAACACCAGUGGCGAAGGCGACUUUCUGGUCUGUAACUGACGCUGAUGUGCGAAAGCGUGGGGAUCAAACAGGA